CACGUCCGCGGCGGCCCUGGGCUUCUGAGCUGAAGCUCGUUCCCUCCGGGGCUGUCCGUCGGGGAGGUUUAAGGGGUGGAUGGCAGGGUAUCUGCCUUCAUAAAAUAUAUUGCUUGUGAUGCCUCCCUGGAAAUGACAGGGGGGAGUCCCUUCCAAAUGAAGGAUUUAGGAUCUUCCAUACUUUUCUUUGCUUCUAAAGAUUCAAGACUUCCCGCCCAGCGUGAUGGUGCAGGCCUGUAAUCCCAGCUGCUGGGGAGGCUGAGGCAGGAGGAUGUGCUUAGCUAUAUUCCUUGCGGUAUGAUCACAUCUUCUACUAAGAAGCUUUCAUAUAAUUGAGUCCAAGUGAGGUCAGGAUGUAUCUAGUGAGCACUGAUACAACCAAGAGUAGAAGACUUUCCUACAAAAUAUCCCAGGACUUUUUCAGGAGUGAUCUUUUUUUUUU